GUAGGGUGCAAGCGUUAAUCGGAAUUACUGGGCGUAAAGCGUACGCAGGCGGCUUUGCAAGACAGGUGUGAAAUCCCCGGGCCUAACCUGGGAACUGCAUUUGUGACUGCAUCGCUAGAGUCUGUCAGAGGGGGGUGGAAUUCCACGUGUAGCAGUGAAAUGCGUAGAGAUGUGGAAGAACACCGAUGGCGAAGGCAGCCCCCUGGGAUGAGACUGACGCUCAUGUACGAAAGCGUGGGGAGCAAACAGGAUUAGAUACCCUGGUAGUCCACGCCCUAAACGAUGUCUACUAGUUGUCGGGGGGUAACUCCUUCGGUAACGCAGCUAACGCGUGAAGUAGACCGCCUGGGGAGUACGGUCGCAAGAUUAA
rnacentral:rRNA from 1 species